rnacentral:rRNA from 1 species
UGGGGAAUAUUCGACAAUGGGCGCAAGCCUGAUCCAGCCAUGCCGCGUGAGUGAUGAAGGCCUUAGGGUUGUAAAGCUCUUUUAGCGGGGAAGAUAAUGACGGUACCCGCAGAAAAAGCCCCGGCUAACUUCGUGCCAGCAGCCGCGGUAAUACGAAGGGGGCUAGCGUUGCUCGGAAUUACUGGGCGUAAAGCGCACGUAGGCGGACUCUUAAGUCGGUGGUGAAAUCCUGGAGCUCAACUCCAGAACUGCCUUCGAUACUGGGAGUCUUGAGUUCGGGAGAGGUGAGUGGAACUGCGAGUGUAGAGGUGAAAUUCGUAGAUAUUCGCAAGAACACCAGUGGCGAAGGCGGCUCACUGGCCCGAUACUGACGCUGAGGUGCGAAAGCGUGGGGAGCAAACA